CUAAUACAUGCAAGUCGAGCGAACGGACGAGAAGCUUGCUUCUCUGAUGUUAGCGGCGGACGGGUGAGUAACACGUGGAUAACCUACCUAUAAGACUGGGAUAACUUCGGGAAACCGGAGCUAAUACCGGAUAAUAUUUUGAACCGCAUGGUUCAAAAGUGAAAGACGGUCUUGCUGUCACUUAUAGAUGGAUCCGCGCUGCAUUAGCUAGUUGGUAAGGUAACGGCUUACCAAGGCAACGAUGCAUAGCCGACCUGAGAGGGUGAUCGGCCACACUGGAACUGAGACACGGUCCAGACUCCUACGGGAGGCAGCAGUAGGGAAUCUUCCGCAAUGGGCGAAAGCCUGACGGAGCAACGCCGCGUGAGUGAUGAAGGUCUUCGGAUCGUAAAACUCUGUUAUUAGGGAAGAACAUAUGUGUAAGUAACUGUGCACAUCUUGACGGUACCUAAUCAGAAAGCCACGGCUAACUACGUGCCAGCAGCCGCGGUAAUACGUAGGUGGCAAGCGUUAUCCGGAAUUAUUGGGCGUAAAGCGCGCGUAGGCGGUUUUUUAAGUCUGAUGUGAAAGCCCACGGCUCAACCGUGGAGGGUCAUUGGAAACUGGAAAACUUGAGUGCAGAAGAGGAAAGUGGAAUUCCAUGUGUAGCGGUGAAAUGCGCAGAGAUAUGGAGGAACACCAGUGGCGAAGGCGACUUUCUGGUCUGUAACUGACGCUGAUGUGCGAAAGCGUGGGGAUCAAACAGGAUUAGAUACCCUGGUAGUCCACGCCGUAAACGAUGAGUGCUAAGUGUUAGGGGGUUUCCGCCCCUUAGUGCUGCAGCUAACGCAUUAAGCACUCCGCCUGGGGAGUACGACCGCAAGGUUGAAACUCAAAGGAAUUGACGGGGACCCGCACAAGCGGUGGAGCAUGUGGUUUAAUUCGAAGCAACGCGAAGAACCUUACCAAAUCUUGACAUCCUUUGACAACUCUAGAGAUAGAGCCUUCCCCUUCGGGGGACAAAGUGACAGGUGGUGCAUGGUUGUCGUCAGCUCGUGUCGUGAGAUGUUGGGUUAAGUCCCGCAACGAGCGCAACCCUUAAGCUUAGUUGCCAUCAUUAAGUUGGGCACUCUAAGUUGACUGCCGGUGACAAACCGGAGGAAGGUGGGGAUGACGUCAAAUCAUCAUGCCCCUUAUGAUUUGGGCUACACACGUGCUACAAUGGACAAUACAAAGGGCAGCGAAACCGCGAGGUCAAGCAAAUCCCAUAAAGUUGUUCUCAGUUCGGAUUGUAGUCUGCAACUCGACUACAUGAAGCUGGAAUCGCUAGUAAUCGUAGAUCAGCAUGCUACGGUGAAUACGUUCCCGGGUCUUGUACACACCGCCCGUCACACCACGAGAGUUUGUAACACCCGAAGCCGGUGGAGUAACCUUUUAGGAGCUAGCCGUCGAAGGUGGGACAAAUGAUUGGGGUGAAGUCGUAACAAGGUAGCCGUAUCGGAAGGUGCGGCUGGAUCACCUCCUUU
rnacentral:rRNA from 1 species